AAUACAUGCAAGUCGAACGAACUCUGGGUAUUGAUUGGUGGCUUGCAUCAUGAUUUACAUUUGAGUGAGUGGCGAACUGGUGAGUAACACGUGGGAAACCUGCCCAGAAGCGGGGGAUAACACCUGGAAACAGAUGCUAAUACCGCAUAACAACUUGGACCGCAUGGUCCGAGUUUGAAAGAUGGCUUCGGCUAUCACUUUUGGAUGGUCCCGCGGCGUAUUAGCUAGAUGGUGGGGUAACGGCUCACCAUGGCAAUGAUACGUAGCCGACCUGAGAGGGUAAUCGGCCACAUUGGGACUGAGACACGGCCCAAACUCCUACGGGAGGCAGCAGUAGGGAAUCUUCCACAAUGGACGAAAGUCUGAUGGAGCAACGCCGCGUGAGUGAAGAAGGGUUUCGGCUCGUAAAACUCUGUUGUUAAAGAAGAACAUAUCUGAGAGUAACUGUUCAGGUAUUGACGGUAUUUAACCAGAAAGCCACGGCUAACUACGUGCCAGCAGCCGCGGUAAUACGUAGGUGGCAAGCGUUGUCCGGAUUUAUUGGGCGUAAAGCGAGCGCAGGCGGUUUUUUAAGUCUGAUGUGAAAGCCUUCGGCUCAACCGAAGAAGUGCAUCGGAAACUGGGAAACUUGAGUGCAGAAGAGGACAGUGGAACUCCAUGUGUAGCGGUGAAAUGCGUAGAUAUAUGGAAGAACACCAGUGGCGAAGGCGGCUGUCUGGUCUGUAACUGACGCUGAGGCUCGAAAGUAUGGGUAGCAAACAGGAUUAGAUACCCUGGUAGUCCAUACCGUAAACGAUGAAUGCUAAGUGUUGGAGGGUUUCCGCCCUUCAGUGCUGCAGCUAACGCAUUAAGCAUUCCGCCUGGGGAGUACGGCCGCAAGGCUGAAACUCAAAGGAAUUGACGGGGGCCCGCACAAGCGGUGGAGCAUGUGGUUUAAUUCGAAGCUACGCGAAGAACCUUACCAGGUCUUGACAUACUAUGCAAAUCUAAGAGAUUAGACGUUCCCUUCGGGGACAUGGAUACAGGUGGUGCAUGGUUGUCGUCAGCUCGUGUCGUGAGAUGUUGGGUUAAGUCCCGCAACGAGCGCAACCCUUAUUAUCAGUUGCCAGCAUUAAGUUGGGCACUCUGGUGAGACUGCCGGUGACAAACCGGAGGAAGGUGGGGAUGACGUCAAAUCAUCAUGCCCCUUAUGACCUGGGCUACACACGUGCUACAAUGGAUGGUACAACGAGUUGCGAACUCGCGAGAGUAAGCUAAUCUCUUAAAGCCAUUCUCAGUUCGGAUUGUAGGCUGCAACUCGCCUACAUGAAGUCGGAAUCGCUAGUAAUCGCGGAUCAGCAUGCCGCGGUGAAUACGUUCCCGGGCCUUGUACACACCGCCCGUCACACCAUGAGAGUUUGUAACACCCAAAGUCGGUGGGGUAACCUUUUAGGAACCAGCC
rnacentral:rRNA from 1 species